UAAAUUUUAAAUUAAAUCCAUAGGUCUGGUUUAGCAACCGCCGUGCAAGAUGGAGGAAGCAAGCUGGGGCCAAUCAACUGAUGGCUUUCAACCAUCUCAUUCCCGGGGGGUUCCCUCCCACUGCCAUGCCGACCUUGCCAACGUACCAGCUGUCGGAGACCUCUUACCAGCCCACAUCUAUUCCACAAGCCGUGUCAGAUCCCAGCAGCACCGUUCACAGACCUCAACCGCUUCCUCCAAGCACUGUACACCAAAGCACGAUUCCUUCCAACCCAGACAGCAGCUCUGCCUACUGCCUCCCCAGCACCAGGCAUGGAUUUUCCAGCUAUACAGACAGCUUUGUGCCUCCGUCGGGGCCCUCCAACCCCAUGAACCCCACCAUUGGCAAUGGCCUCUCACCUCAGGUAAUGGGACUCCUGACCAACCACGGUGGGGUACCUCAUCAGCCCCAGACUGAU
rnacentral:sRNA from 1 species